UCAACAGAGAGAAGCAAUACCGCGAGGUGGAGCAAAACUUCAAAAAUGGUCUCAGUUCGGACUGUAGGCUGCAACUCGCCUACACGAAGUUGGAAUUGCUAGUAAUCGUGGAUCAGCACGCCACGGUGAAUACGUUCCCGGGUCUUGUACACACCGCCCGUCACACCAUGGGAGCUGGUAACACCCGAAGUCAGUAGUCUAACCGCAAGGAGGACGCUGCCGAAGGUGGGAUUAGCGACUGGGGUGAAGUCGUAACAAGGUAAC
rnacentral:rRNA from 1 species